GUUGGGUUAAGUCCCGCAACGAGCGCAACCCCUAUUCUUAGUUGCCAGCGAUUAAAGUCGGGCACUCUAAGGAUCACUGCCUCGGUCAACGGGGAGGAAGGUGGGGAUGACGUCAAGUCAUC
rnacentral:rRNA from 1 species